rnacentral:rRNA from 1 species
UACGUCGGGUGCAAGCGUUGUCCGGAAUUAUUGGGCGUAAAGAGCUCGUAGGCGGUCUGUCGCGUCUGCUGUGAAAACUCAGGGCUUAACCCUGAGCUUGCAGUGGGUACGGGCAGACUAGAGUGCGGUAGGGGAGACUGGAAUUCCUGGUGUAGCGGUGAAAUGCGCAGAUAUCAGGAGGAACACCGGUGGCGAAGGCGGGUCUCUGGGUCGUAACUGACGCUGAGGAGCGAAAGCAUGGGGAGCGAACAGG